rnacentral:rRNA from 1 species
UACGGAGGAUCCGAGCGUUAUCCGGAUUUAUUGGGUUUAAAGGGUGCGUAGGUGGAUUGGUAAGUCAGUGGUGAAAGUUUGCAGCUUAACUGUAAAAGUGCCAUCGAUACUGGUUUUCUUGAGUGUGGAUGAAGUAGGCGGAAUUUGUGGUGUAGCGGUGAAAUGCAUAGAUAUCACGAGGAACUCCGAUUGCGCAGGCAGCUUACUAGGCCAUAACUGACGCUCAGGCACGAAGGCGUGGGGAUCAAACAGGAUUAGAUA